rnacentral:rRNA from 1 species
UGGGGAAUAUUGCACAAUGGGCGAAAGCCUGAUGCAGCGACGCCGCGUGAGGGAUGACGGCCUUCGGGUUGUAAACCUCUUUCAGCAGGGACGAAGCGCAAGUGACGGUACCUGCAGAAGAAGCACCGGCUAACUACGUGCCAGCAGCCGCGGUAAUACGUAGGGUGCAAGCGUUGUCCGGAAUUACUGGGCGUAAAGAGUUCGUAGGCGGUUUGUCGCGUCGUUUGUGAAAACCAGCACCUCAACUGCUGGCUUGCAGGCGAUACGGGCAGACUUGAGUACUGCAGGGGAGACUGGAAUUCCUGGUGUAGCGGUGAAAUGCGCAGAUAUCAGGAGGAAAACCGGUGGCGAAGGCGGGUCUCUGGGCAGUAACUGACGCUGAGGAACGAAAGCGUGGGUAGCGAACAGG